rnacentral:tRNA from 1 species
GGAAGCGAAUGGGUGCUGGUGUGUCCCUUGGACUUCAAAUCCAAUGUCCCCUUGCGUGAGUUGGGGGAGGUGGGUUCGAUUCCCACGCGCUUCCGCCA